rnacentral:rRNA from 1 species
GCAAGUCGAGCGGUAACACAAGGGAGCUUGCUCCUGAGGUGACGAGCGGCGGACGGGUGAGUAAUGCCUAGGGAUCUGCCCAGUCGAGGGGGAUAACAGUUGGAAACGACUGCUAAUACCGCAUACGCCCUACGGGGGAAAGGAGUGGGACCUUCGGGCCUUCCGCGAUUGGAUGAACCUAGGUGGGAUUAGCUAGUUGGUGAGGUAAUGGCUCACCAAGGCGACGAUCCCUAUCUGUUCUGAGAGGAUGAUCACCACACACUGGGACUGAGACACGGCCCAGACUCCUACGGGAGGCAGCAGUGGGGAAUAUUGCACAAUGGGGGAAACCCUGAUGCAGCCAUGCCGCGUGUGUGAAGAAGGCCUUCGGGUUGUAAAGCACUUUCAGUAGGGAGGAAAGGUGAUAGUUUAAUAAACUAUUACUGUGACGUUACCUACAGAAGAAGGACCGGCUAACUCCGUGCCAGCAGCCGCGGUAAUACGGAGGGUCCGAGCGUUAAUCGGAAUUACUGGGCGUAAAGCGUGCGCAGGCGGUUUGUUAAGCCAGAUGUGAAAUCCCCGGGCUCAACCUGGGAAUUGCAUUUGGAACUG